GGGAAUGUGGCUUAGUGGUAGAGUGCUUGCCUAGCAUGCAUGAAGUUCUGGGUUCAAUUCCUCAGCACCA
rnacentral:tRNA from 1 species